CACCACAGAAAAACCCGCCUUUUCUUCUCUCAGCGCUGCCACUGAUCCUUCUUGUUCUAAAAAGUGUAUGUGUGAAUUGUGGUGCUUUGGGAGGGACACUGGGAGAGCCAGGAGUGUUAUUUGAUGGCUAAUAUCAGCCUCAUCCCUUAAAUGUCUUCAGAGUGAGGGUUAUUUUGCACAGAACUGAGCUGAGGCACAGAGGCCUUCUCAGAAGGCAGUCGGCGCUGCACCAGAGGCUGCAGAUGCGACAUUUCACCUCAGCGGCUGGGAGCACUGAGUGCUCAGGUGUGGCUGGUGCUCUUUGUGCUGUCCCCAGAACAGCUGUGAGGAAAGGAGGUGGCAGUUUGUGAUGGUCCAUCUCUGGGUGCUCCUCAGUGGUGAGAGCAAAUAUGCAGCCCAAUCUCAGCUUCCACGAGUCACUUGUCCAACUCCUCCUCUCCAGCCCUCAGUCGUCCUGUGCUGUAUUUUUUCCCCUUGCAAAGGAGCACCAUGCUUGGUAAGUUUUAU